UCCUAUGUAACAGAGGACAGAUGGGAAUUCAUGAGAAUCAAAUUAGAAAGCCUAAAGUGCACUCACAGUUCCUACCAUAUGGUAAGUACCCAAUAAAUGGCCACUAUUACCAUAUUCCUGCUCAAACAAUGUCCAAACUCCUAACCCUGUUUUUUAAGAUGCAUUUAUUUUUGCAUAUUAUUAGAUUGUGCCUAUAGAACUUUUUGCUAGAGUCUUUAUAGAGAUGGAUCCAGUGGCAAGGACAGAACAGAUUUCUUCAUAAGAAGAUACUUUGCUAAUGAGGAUUUAGGAAGCAAGCACAUUCACUAAUGCAGAGAAAUAAUACGAGAGAACAAAGUUUACUCCUUUCCUCUUGAUCAAACAGACAUUCAUCUCUUGUGUCUGCAACAGCUGGAAGUGAAGCUAGAGAAAAACUAAAAAAAAAAGUCAAAAUGAAUCAGCAAAUCCCAAGAAGGCAGCUGCUUUCCUGCAGGCAGUUGCUUGCAGAGAUCCUCUGAGUAUCUCAUGACCUUGACCACCCAACCACAGA
rnacentral:lncRNA from 1 species